rnacentral:rRNA from 1 species
UACGGAGGGGGCUAGCGUUGUUCGGAAUUACUGGGCGUAAAGCGCACGUAGGCGGCUUGGUAAGUUAGAGGUGAAAGCCUGGAGCUCAACUCCAGAAUUGCCUUUAAGACUGCCGAGCUAGCAGGUGAGAGAGGUGAGUGGAAUUCCGAGUGUAGAGGUGAAAUUCGUAGAUAUUCGGAAGAACAACAGUGGCGAAGGCGGCUCACUGGCUCAUACUGGACGCUGAGGUGCGAAAGCGUGGGGAGCAAACAGG